CUGCGUUUCCCACUUUUCUGCGGCGUUUGUGCUCCGCUUGGCGUGAACCUGGGCCUCACGAUCGCCCUUGUUUUACUGGGAGCAGCGAUAAAAGUGCAGCUUCCCGAGAAGCUGGAGAUGUGCCAGCUGGUUUUGUGGGCAGCGUAACCAGAAGCAGAAUGAAGUGAUCGGUCCUCAGCAAAAGGCUCCCGUCAGAGCUCAGGCCGGACCCUGCCGCGGGGACAUCCACGGGGUCAGCGUCUCGUGAUGGGCAGACRUCAGGUGAGCAAAAAUGCGACGUUCUUAGAGAUCUUAUAGCUGCAGCGCUUUCGGCGUUUUGUUCACCCUUCGCAGGUGAGGACCGUAAAGAGGUUAUUUUUCAUUUAGCACCGCAGCAGCGGUUGCUGCUGUUGACAGCAUACCUGUCGUAUUCAGUGAAUGCCCCAGAUAAGUUUGCAACACGGUUUCCAUUAAAAAUGUUUUGUUUGCGGCAUUGUGUUUGUGCCGAGUAUUCGUAUCUUGGGCUGCUAUCUCCCACUAAAGGUGUUGGUGUUUUUUUGGGGGUUGUUUCGGGARAAAUUAUUCAGCUAUUUGAGUUGUUUAAAACAGAAAGUGACUUUUCUCCCUGUUAAUUUCCUAGUAAAAGAAUCAGAAAAUUUUGAACUUUGACACUUGACAUGAAAAAUACCUGACCCAGAACCCACUGAAUUUCGUAGAAGAAGUUUUCUUUUCAUUUGUGUAUUUGGAUCAGGUUUAUGGUUCUCAGUGAAGUUGCUGCCCAA
ensembl:lncRNA